rnacentral:rRNA from 1 species
GACGAACGCUGGCGGCGUGCCUAAUACAUGCAAGUCGAACGCAUUUUCUUUCACCGUAGCUUGCUACACCGAAAGAAACUGAGUGGCGAACGGGUGAGUAACACGUGGGUAACCUGCCCAUCAGCGGGGGAUAACACUUGGAAACAGGUGCUAAUACCGCAUAAUUCCAUUUACCGCAUGGUAAAUGGAUGAAAGGCGCUUUUCCGGCACCUUUUGAGCUACCUGCGGUGGUUUUGCUAGUCGGUGGGGUUACCGACUACCAAGGCUGCGAUGCAGAGCCGCACGGAGAGGGUGGGCAGCCGGACUGGGACGGAGACACGGCCCAGACUGCCAGGGGAGGCAGCAGGGGUGAAUCGGCGGCAAGGGGUGCAAGACAGAGCGCGCAACGCCGCGGGAGGGAAGAAGGAUGUCGGAUCGGAAAACUCUGUUGUUAGGGAAGAACAAGGAUGAGAGUGGAAAGUUCAUCGCUUGACGGUAACUAAUAAGAAAGCCACGGCUAACUACGUG